rnacentral:rRNA from 1 species
GAUGAACGCUAGCUACAGGCUUAACACAUGCAAGUCGAGGGGUAACGAGAGGAAAGCUUGCUUUCCUUGUCGACGACCGGCGCACGGGUGAGUAACGCGUAUCCAACCUGCCCCCAACUAAGGAAUAACCUUGCGAAAGUAAGACUAAUACCUUAUAAUUUCCUCAGAUGUCAUCUGACGAGGAAUAAAGAUUUAUCGGUUGUGGAUGGGGAUGCGUCUGAUUAGCUUGUUGGCGGGGUAACGGCCCACCAAGGCAACGAUCAGUAGGGGUUCUGAGAGGAAGGUCCCCACAUUGGGACUGAGACACGGUCCAAACUCCUACGGGAGGCAGCAGUGAGGAAUAUUGGUCAAUGGGCGGAAGCCUGAACCAGCCAAGUAGCGUGCAGGAUGACGGCCCUAUGGGUUGUAAACUGCUUUUAUACAGGAAUAAAGUUAGCCACGUGUGGUUAUUUGUAGGUACUGUAUGAAUAAGGACCGGCUAAUUCCGUGCCAGCAGCCGCGGUAA